rnacentral:rRNA from 1 species
UACGUAGGGGGCAAGCGUUAUCCGGAAUUACUGGGUGUAAAGGGUGCGUGGGCGGUAAUGUAAGUCAGAUGUGAAAGCGCGAAGCUCAACUUCGGGACUGCAUUUGAAGCUACAUAACUAGAGUACAGGAGAGGAAAGUGGAAUUCCUAGUGUAGCAGUGAAAUGCGUAGAUAUUAGGAGGAACACCAGUGGAGAAGGCGCCUUUCUGGACUGUAACUGACGCUGAGGCACGAAAGCGUGGGGAGCAAAUAGG